rnacentral:rRNA from 1 species
UACGUAGGGUGCGAGCGUUAAUCGGAAUUACUGGGCGUAAAGCGUGCGCAGGCGGCUUUGUAAGCCAGAUGUGAAAGCCCCGGGCUCAACCUGGGAAUGGCAUUUGGGACUGCAAGGCUGGAGUUUGGCAGAGGAGACUGGAAUUCCUGGUGUAGCAGUGAAAUGCGUAGAUAUCAGGAGGAAUACCGAUGGCGAAGGCAGGUCUCUGGGCUAUAACUGACGCUCAUGCACGAAAGCGUGGGGAGCAAACAGG